GGUUCCUCACGGACCUGCCCAGGUAUCACCGGUCUGAACGGACGGUCAGGGAAAAGGGGGCAAGAGGGUACAGACGGCGGUCGAGGUGCGAUCGGAGAGACCGGAUCAAAGGGGGACAGAGGGUUCGAUGGCUUACCAGGUCUCCCUGGAAACCAAGGACAUAAGG